rnacentral:rRNA from 1 species
UACGUAGGGUGCGAGCGUUAAUCGGAAUUACUGGGCGUAAAGCGUGCGCAGGCGGUUUUGUAAGCCAGAUGUGAAAUCCCCGGGCUUAACCUGGGAAUGGCAUUUGGGACUGCAAGGCUCGAGUGCGGCAGAGGAGACUGGAAUUCCUGGUGUAGCAGUGAAAUGCGUAGAUAUCAGGAGGAACACCGGUGGCGAAAGCGCCUAUCUGGCCCAAUACUGACGCUGAUGCGCGAAAGCUAGGGGAGCAAACGGG